rnacentral:rRNA from 1 species
UUAAAAAGCUCGUAGUUGGAUUUCUGCGGGGGCGGGGCGGCCGACCUCGACUCGAGGUUCGAGCUAGCACUUCCCCUGCAUCCUGCCGCGAACCGUGCUACCAUUAGUUUGGUGGCGCUGGAUCGGCUCGUUUACUUUGAGAAAAAUAGAGUGUUCAAAGCAGGCCACACGCCUUGAAUAAGUUAGCAUGGAAUAAUGAUAAAGGACUUCGGUUCUAUU